GUGAGGAAUAUUGCGCAAUGGAGGCAACUCUGACGCAGCCAUGCCGCGUGCAGGAAGAAGGCGCUACGCGUUGUAAACUGCUUUUAACCGGGAAGAAACCCCAGGACGUGUCCUGGGUUGACGGUACCGGAGGAAUAAGCACCGGCUAACUUCGUGCCAGCAGCCGCGGUAAUACGAAGGGUGCAAGCGUUAGCCGGAUUCAUUGGGUUUAACGGGUGCGUAGGCGGAGCGGUAAGUCAGUGGUGAAAUCCUGCAGCUUAACUGUGGCCUUGCCGUUGGUACUGGCGCUCUUGAGUGCGCUUGAAGUGGGCGGAAUGUGCCGUGUAGCGGUGAAAUGCUUAGAUAUCGCACAGAACACCAAUUGCGAAGGCAGCUCACUAAGGCGAUACUGGCGCUGAGGCACGAAAGCGUGGGGAUCGAACAGGAUUAGAAACCCUUGUAGUCC
rnacentral:rRNA from 1 species